rnacentral:tRNA from 1 species
GGGCGUGUAACUCAGUGGUAGAGUGCUCGCUUCGCAUCUUUCGGUGCCGGAAAUGCGAGAAGUCCAGGGUUCAACUCCCUGCUCGUCCA